AGCACAAACGCUUAAAACUCUAAGGACUUGGCGGUGCUCUAAACCCACCUAGAGGAGCCUGUUCUAUAAUCGAUAACCCACGAUUCACCCGACCACCUCUUGCCAAAACAGCCUAUAUACCGCCGUCGCCAGCCCACCUCGUGAGAGCACAACAGUGAGCCCAACAGCCCACAGCCCACUAACAAGACAGGUCAAGGUAUAGCCUAUGAGGUGGAAGAAAUGGGCUACAUUUUCUAAAAUAGAAAACCCAACGAAAAGGGGCUUGAAACCUGCCCCCAGAAGGCGGAUUUAGCAGUAAAGUAGGA
rnacentral:rRNA from 1 species